rnacentral:rRNA from 1 species
AAGUCGAACGAAGCAAUUAAGAUGAAGUUUUCGGAUGGAAUCUUGAUUGACUGAGUGGCGGACGGGUGAGUAACGCGUGGAUAACCUGCCUCACACUGGGGGAUAACAGUUAGAAAUGACUGCUAAUACCGCAUAAGCGCACAGUGCCGCAUGGCAGUGUGUGAAAAACUCCGGUGGUGUGAGAUGGAUCCGCGUCUGAUUAGCCAGUUGGCGGGGUAACGGCCCACCAAAGCGACGAUCAGUAGCCGACCUGAGAGGGUGACCGGCCACAUUGGGACUGAGACACGGCCCAAACUCCUACGGGAGGCAGCAGUGGGGAAUAUUGCACAAUGGGCGAAAGCCUGAUGCAGCGACGCCGCGUGAGUGAAGAAGUAUUUCGGUAUGUAAAGCUCUAUCAGCAGGGAAGAAAAUGACGGUACCUGACUAAGAAGCCCCGGCUAACUACGUGCCAGCAGCCGCGGUAAUACGUAGGGGGCAAGCGUUAUCCAGAUUUACUGGGUGUAAAGGGAGCGUAGACGGCGAAGCAAGUCUGAAGUGAAAACCCAGGGCUCAACCCUGGGACUGCUUUGGAAACUGUUUUGCUAGAGUGUCGGAGAGGUAAGUGGAAUUCCUAGUGUAGCGGUGAAAUGCGUAGAUAUUAGGAGGAACACCAGUGGCGAAGGCGGCUUACUGGA